rnacentral:lncRNA from 1 species
UGGAGAGGUGGUUCAGUGCCCUUGGAUUCAAUCCCUGGUUAGAAUAAAAGCCUGCCUUAGCCUCUGAAUCUCUGAGAUCACAGGUGUGAAUCUCAGCCCCAGACUCCUCAGGUCUUUUCACUCGCUCUAUCCUCUGCAUGAGAUGUCUUCUCGCACUCCAUCUUUUUGUGUGGCUCUUUUCCUUAUUUUUGAGGUCUCAGCUGAAGUACUCAGAGGUUGUUUUUUUUUUGGUGUGUGUGGGUGUGUGUGUGUGUGUAUACUAGGACUGAACCCUGGGCACUUUACCACUGAGCUACAUCCCCAGCCCUUUUUAUUUUUUAUUUUGAGACAAGUUCUCAACAAGUUGCUAAGGCUGGCCUCAAACUUUUGAUCCUCUUGCCUUAGCCUCCCAAGUCACUGGGAUUAAAAUUGUGCAAUUUUCCCACUGCCUAGCUCUUCACUGUCUCUUGUGUGGGAGACCAACCUUACACGUGACUGGGUUACACUCCCUAGCUGGGUGCUGAGGCACUCAGUCGCAGAAAUGUGGCAGAGCUUUUCCCACCCUUCUUGGGUUCGAGGGUUGGUGUCUCGUGCAUGGGUGUGUCUUGCUACACCAUGCACUUAACCCCGUGGGUGAAGCUAUGCUCACUUAUUCCUUUGUAAUGUAACCCCUUACCCUGUUUAGGAUAGAAUCUUCUAUGGAAGUGCCUUGUGUGUGUCCCCUUCUCUUACUGUGCCCUUGGGUGUGGCCUACCCAAGUGUCAGUCAACCUGCUGACAGUGGACAUCGUGAAGAUAGACUCAGCCCCCUGAAACCUGACCCCUUGCCUCAUUUGAAUGGCUUCUCCUCAAUGAAAGGGGUCAGCACGUGCUUUCGCUCUCUUUCUGCGGACCCUUAAGGUCAGAGGAGCCGUCACAGCGACCCCAAAGAAAAAGGUAUUU